GUGCUCGCUUCAGCGGCACAAAUACUCAAAUGAGAAGGCUACAGGGAAGAUUAGCAUGGCCCCUGCGCAAGGAUGACACGCAAAAAUCAUGAAGUGUUCCAUAUUUUU
ensembl:snRNA U6 U6 spliceosomal RNA